rnacentral:lncRNA from 1 species
UGCUUAUUAAUUAGAAAAUCAGAAAUCAUUUUGAAGACUUUCUUUAGACGAAAGCAAAUUCUUUUCUUCUUUAGUUUACUUGAAGUCAAAGAAAAGGUCUUUUCCUGUAAUCUCAGCUCUGUCAUUACUGUGACAGUGGAUUUCUUUCCAGGACCAUGGAGAGUGCUUCCAUUAGCCUCGAGGAGCAUCCCUCCAGUUGCUGUGCACGGAGAAAUGUAUUUUAAGUAAAUAAGUAUUUACAAGGAAUAAAACCGGAUGUGUGGAUGUACCUGUGUGUUUAUUCACCUUGUUAAGCUGAAGACAAGACAGAAUUCAUCUCAUAGUUUGUUUAAAAAAAAGUUCCAGUGCUCAAACAUGUCCUAUUUCUUAUCCACCCCACGAGUUUUCUGACCAGAAUAAAAUGACAGUUUCUUUUCCUCAUCUGCCUUGGGAGUUCCAGAACUGCAAGAGAUAAACACUCUCCCUUGGAAAUAGGCAUAAAUGUUAGAGCAUGUCCUAUCAAGACGUCUGUCCUGCAUCUGGUACUUCAAGUGGCAGGUGAGUUACUUGAGGUUUUCUGAGUCACUGAGCAGCCAUACAAGUGCCAGCAUUGCCAUGAAGGAGUCAGUGGCCACAAGCACUGGAGAGGGAGACCUACCCAUCCUGAAGUACCUGGAGAUGGCUGUGAAACUACACAGCUACAUGCCAGCCCAUCACAGGUAGUUAUGUGGCUGUAGAUGAAUCAACACAAAGUGAAGUGACUAACCCUCAAGAUGUUAAUUAGAGUGUCAUUAAGUAGCACUGCAGCUGCUAACGACCUGCAGUGCAAUGACCGAUGAGACCAGCAUGCAACACUGUGAUGAGCAAGAUGAGGGUUUUUCUCAGUGCUCUCAAGUACAAACAACCUGAGAGAAAGCAUAAUGUUACGAGUUUAUGGAAUCUUUGUUACUCUAUAUAACAAUUAUAAACUUUGGCAGAACAUUUUUAAGAAUAAUUUUUAAAUAAGAAUUGAAACUAAGAAAUACUAAGAAUUCCUUCUGGCUUUCUGUAACAUUUCCCUUCCCAACCUGUUUGAAGCAGGAACAAUAGGGAUGGGAAUUCUAACUGUGGUAUUAUUCACU